GACGAACGCUGGCGGCGUGCUUAACACAUGCAAGUCGAACGGAAAGGCCCUGCUUUUGUGGGGUGCUCGAGUGGCGAACGGGUGAGUAGCACGUGAGUAACCUGCCCUUGACUUUGGGAUAACUUCAGGAAACUGGGGCUAAUACCGGAUAGGAGCUCCUGCUGCAUGGUGGGGGUUGGAAAGUUUCGGCGGUUGGGGAUGGACUCGCGGCUUAUCAGCUUGUUGGUGGGGUAGUGGCUUACCAAGGCUUUGACGGGUAGCCGGCCUGAGAGGGUGACCGGCCACAUUGGGACUGAGAUACGGCCCAGACUCCUACGGGAGGCAGCAGUGGGGAAUAUUGCACAAUGGGCGGAAGCCUGAUGCAGCAACGCCGCGUGCGGGAUGACGGCCUUCGGGUUGUAAACCGCUUUCGCCUGUGACGAAGCGUGAGUGACGGUAAUAGGUAAAGAAGCACCGGCUAACUACGUG
rnacentral:rRNA from 1 species